GAGGGGCUCACGUUGACUAUGCACCGAUGCAUGAUGAAAUGGGCAGAGAGUUGCUUCUGUGCGUCAACGAUGCCAAUGUUGCACUGAGUCAUCCACCUGGUGGUGCAUUAUCUGAGAGGACUCUUAGGAGCACGAUGGAGAAGUUCAAGAAGCGGUUUCAUAAGAUGGCAGCAAUGCUUUCUUGCCAUGGUGCUCAGUCCAGU